rnacentral:rRNA from 1 species
GACGAACGCUGGCGACGUGCCUAAUACAUGCAAGUCGAGCGGACCGAAGGGAGCUUGCUCCUUUAGGUUAGCGGCGGACGGGUGAGUAACACGUGGGCAACCUGCCCUGCAGACUGGGAUAACUUCGGGAAACCGGAGCUAAUACCGGAUAACACCGAAAACCGCAUGGUUUUCGGUUGAAAGGCGGCUUUUAGCUGUCACUGCAGGAUGGGCCCGCGGCGCAUUAGCUAGUUGGUAAGGUAAUGGCUUACCAAGGCGAUGAUGCAUAGCCGAGUUGAGAGACUGAUCGGCCACAAUGGAACUGAGACACGGUCCAU